GUGGGUACGGUAUCCACUUAUAAAUCUAACCAUUGAUUUCACUUGUUUUGAUCCUAGCCGUUUAUGUGAUUUUAAUGAAUUACUAGUUACCAGUCAAGCAGGUAACAUAUAAAAUCAAUCACAAAAAAAAAAAAAAAGACGUUUGUUUUCUCUCUCUUUACUUCUCUGCUGCGUUCUUUUAAUUCUGCUCCUUCUCAUCGUUCUUGGCUGAUCUUCACCUCGUCUUCAUACAAAUCUCAGGAAUUUUGGAAAACAAGCGUUAGUAAUGUUGUGAAAUCUGAAUUGAAAUUUCAGAAUAGGAAAAUUCAAAUUGCAAAUCAAGCCACUUGCUUCGAUUUUUCCCCAAUGGAAACCCAUGUGAAAAUUUCCCAUUGAAGAAAAACAAAGAAGAGAGGUCAGAAAUCAACAUGAAUAGAGACAGUUCUCUUAAAGCAACUUCAAAAUUUUCUGAGCAAAGUCAACUUCCUGUUAUAAAUGGUAAAGGUAAUGGUCAAUUGAUGUAUAAAAAGAAAGGGUCGAAGAAGACACAACAUGAUUCAAGUGUUAAAAAUGGGAAGCCAUCAAGUGUGUUCAAGAGGAGAGUAUUUUGCUUCUCAAAAUCCUUUUCUGAGAAUAGGCAUUUGCACCCAUGAAUGGAGGAACUGCUUUUGAGUUACCAGAUACAAACUCCUGAAGGCAACCAUUUGAUGCUCAAAGAUACUUUUCACAUAGUGAAAGUGACUGACAAGACUGUGUAUACCUAAAUAGAGAAAAGGAGCAAGUUGAGACAAUUUUCCUUCAAUUUUUCUCUCACUCUAUUACUGCUGGUGUCAAUGCUUCAGCCAAGAUAGCAGCUGGAGCCUGCCCCAUUACUGUAGUCGAAUAGCCAUAGCUUUUCUUCUUUUCUUUGUUGGACGUAUGUGUAAUUACGUGUCAUAGCUCUUUUUUUUUUUUUUUUUUUUUUUUUUUUUUUUUUUUUUUUUUUUUUUUUUUUUUAUGGGUCUUCUUUCUUUUCUCUUUUGGAAGUAUGUGGAAUUAUAUUUUUUUGGGGUAGCUAGGGGGGUGAAAUCUAAUUGAAAACAAAAUGUUCUCAGUGAAAAAGAGAGAAGUAUUAUGACAUGUAAACUUUUUUUUAGUUGAGAAGAAAAAUGAGAAUGUAGUAAAUGUAAUAAUGUGCGAAUUUAUUGUUU